GACCAGGUGCAUGGGCGUCUGGU
rnacentral:misc_RNA from 1 species